CUGGCUUGUGGAUGGCAUUUUCUCCCUGUGUCCUCACAGGGUUUUCCUUGGUAUGUGUGUGGAGAGACAGCGAGCUGACUCACCAGUGUCUCUUCUCUUAAGAAGAGUGAUCCUAUUGGGGUCAGAAGGGACCCACCCUUAUGAUGUCAUUUAACCUUAAUUACUUCCUUAGAGGUCCCAUCUCGAAAUACAGCCACACUGGGGAGUUAGGGUUCAAUGUAUGAAUCUAGGGGGACACAUUCAGUCCAUGGCAACAUGUCAGACAGUUCGCAGUCCAGUGGAGGAGGCGGACAAUAAAGGAGGAGCAAUCACAGAUGGCGGUAAACGCCUUGAAGUGAGCAUGGUGCAGCCAUGGACGAUGAUGGCGGUGGGAGGAAGAGCAGUUCAGGGCGCUUGGUCAGGUUAGGACGUUGAGGAGGGGGCGCUGGAGCCCGAACCGAAAAGGAGGAGCCAGCUGGGGGAAAACGGGAUGCGGGCCGGCGGAGAGUGGGCGGCGUGCCCAGGCCGUGCGGGUGAGGGGCGGGCGGCCCGGGAGAGGCAGGGAGUCUGAGCAGCCGCGAGGAGGCGGGGGCGGCGAGUCCUGUGAGGGCAGGGGCAGAGGCGGGCCGCGCCGGACGCUCCGGGUGUCACCGGAUGUGUGCUGGGAGGUCUCCGAAGAGCUCAGGAGAGAUCUGUGUGGAGAGUGGGUGACAAAAGAGCAGGGAGAAGGCGGGAGGCCAGCGCGGAGGCCUGACCUCCAAAGGUCCACCAGACCUACUAUAGCAUCUGUAAUAUUAAAAGCUGUCCCUCAGAACCCCUCCAUGUGUGGGCAUGGGCUCUGGCCCGUUUCUAGGUCUUUAACCUGUUGAGAGCGGGGCUUGGAGAGGGGGAGAAGUGAGUGGCUUCCACAAGCGGCUCCUCCCGGAGCAGAGGGAUGAGGGCACGGUGGGGCCUCCCUCACCUGCCGCAGCUCCAGGGCUCUGCCCUACCCGUUCAGUUAUCUGCCAGAAACACAAAGAACACAGGGCAGAAGCCCAGAUGGUCCACAGGCAGGAAGAACUCAAUGUACCUCGGCACUGAGAGGAGAAGAUUAUCUGUUAUAAAAAGAAGGCAGGCGGAGAGAAGAUGGGGCCACCCAAUGUACUGGUGUUAUCAGCCCAUCUCUCACCUGGGUGCCCUCACCUCUCCUAUCUGGAUGCCCUUGCUACCCGCAGCCACGGGAAGAAAGCCUUGCGGCAGCCUCAGACCUCCUCCAGCUCCAGAAGGGACUCGAAUGCCCUGGCAGUCUGCUCAUUGCACCAGUAUCCAGAGACUUCAAGGUCUAGCUGGCUUUGAAGAAAUAAGUGGCCAUAUUGGGAGGCCCACAUGGAUAGAAGCUGACAGCCGGCAAGAAGCUGCAGCCCUCAGUCUUACAAUGACAAGGAAAUUAAUUGUGCCAACAGCCUGAGUGAGCUUGGAGGAAGAUUCUGUGGCAGUUAUGCCUCCAGAUGAGAAUGCAGCCCAGCCGGCACCUGACUGCAGCCUUAUGAGCCCUGUUAAGCAGAGGACCCAGUUAAGCUGUGCCUCAGAAACUGUGAGACAAUAAAUGUGUGUCAUUUUAAGCCACUAAAUUUGUGGUAAUUCAUUACAUAGCAACAGAAAACUAAUAUAACCACUCAUCUUUUUAUAUGGUUAUGUUUUUCCCAUAAUGGUAUCUUAUAUGGCAUUUUAAAAAAACUCAGAAGUGAUUUAUUUGCAUAUUAGACAGGUAUUGUCCUGUACCUUCAUGUGGCAAAUUGUAACCACAGAGCCCUAAGGUGUAAGUGAGGAGUCAUAGGAGAAUGAACCCAGAGGUUGUCGCACUUGCUACCGAGUGUGACCUUGAACAAAUACCUUUGUCCGUCUGAGGCUCCGUGUCCCAUCUGUACAACUAAUGGGUUGCAGCGGACCAUUUCAAAGAGACUCUAAAGGGCGCUACACAGUGACUGUGGCUGACCCGGGACCUGCCCAGUCAUCCCUGGCAGGAGGGAGGCAGCUGAAGCAGAGGACUCACAGGGCUGGAGGAUUCAGGAGACAGCCUCUCCCUAUUUUCAUGAGCGAGAAACUGAAGCCCAGGUUGAAAGGGCUUGCUAGUAAAUGGCAGAGCUGGCCUCAGCCCUUGCCCUUGGGCUCCUACCCCGGUGCCUUUUCAGUGGAGCAGAAGGGGCUUCUCUCUUCUAGCCUCCCAGGCCCCUUGUCACCGCUGUGAAGUGAACCCCAGGGCCCAUGCUCCAUAGAUGGGGUUCUGUGGGCUUGCUGCAGAUCUCCGAAAGCCUGGGCCCAGUCCUGGGAAUGCUGCUGAUCCAACGGCGCUUUCUCCUGCCUUACUUCAGGAGGACCUACCAGUUGGCCCUGUGUGUGCCAAGCUAGAGAGCAAGGAAGCUGUUGGCUGAGUAAGAGGUUGGCGAGGGUCCGUGGCUGAGGUGGAAGCAGGUUUCAGGUAGGCAGGGGCUACAGCUUUGGAGAACCUGAGUCCAGUGAGCUCACAGAGGCUUCCCCCAGCAUAAUCUUGCUUUAAAAAUUAAUACUCACACUAAGGUACACAUGGCCAUGAUUAAAGUAUUAAUUUUUUAACCAAAGGAAUUUAUAAUUAAAAAAUUAGAGUCUCCUUAUCUGACCCUCUUCACUCAAAGUCCCUCUUUCUGGGGGCUAUGCUUAUUUACUUAUUUAUUUGCUUGUUUGUUUAUUUAUUUAUAUUUUUAUAUUUUCAUGUUUUUUUUUAAGGUAUGCUUGAUAUACACUCUUAUGAAGGUUUCACAUGAAAAAACAAUGUGGUUGCUAUAUUUACCUGUAUUACCAAGUCCUCACCCACACCCCAAUGCAGUCACUGUCCAUCAGUGUAGUCAGAUGCCACAGAUCCACUAUGUGCCUUCUCUGUGCUACACUGUUCUCCCCGUGGUCCCCCACACUAUGUGUACUAAACAUAAUACCUCUGGGGUCUAUGCUUUUUUAAAAAUCAGUUUUCUCUUUUAGUUCUUUGGUUCUCCAUCUCUUUAUACAGCAUAUCUUAAUGAUAUCUCUCCAUUUAUCAAUGUUGGAAGAAAAUUCACACCUGUUGAUAUCCCCCACUCUUCCUCUCCUCAGUACAGUUAUUUCACUAUUUUAGACCUUUAUUACUUACUUUUGUAACUUUAAAUUAUAUAACCAUAAACUUCUUACAAGUUAUAAAUAUUUGCAGUGUUUCCUAUUGCUGUUGCAACAAGCAUAAAUGUAGUGUAUUAAAACAACACAAAACUUAUUCUCAAGCAGUUUUGGAGGUCAGGAAUCUGAAAAUCAAGAUGUCGACAGGGCUGGGUUCUUUCUGGGGACUCUAGGGAGAACCCACUUCCUUGCUUUCCCAGCUCCUAGAGGCCUCCCGCGUUCUCUGGGCUUGUGGCUCCUUCCUCCAUCUGCAAAGCCAUCAUUUCUCUGUCCUUCCUGCCUCCCUCCUUUAAGAACACUUGUGAUUACGUCAGGCCUACUUUGCUAAUCCGGGACAAUCUCCUUACAUCAAGACUCUUAAUUCAGUCUCAUCUGCAAGG